ACGCUCGACACCUAAGGCAGCAGUGGGGAAUAUUGCACAAUGGGGGAAACCCUGAUGCAGCGACGCCGCGUGAAGGAAGAAGUAUCUCGGUAUGUAAACUUCUAUCAGCAGGGAANAAAAUGACGGUACCUGACUAAGAAGCCCCGGCUAACUACGUGCCAACAGCCGCGGUAAUCUGAGCGGGCUGGCAAGGC
rnacentral:rRNA from 1 species